rnacentral:rRNA from 1 species
CUACGACAAGCUGUGUGCGGCGCGACUAACGGAGGCGGACGCUGCAAGCUUCCUGACCUGGGCGUGCGUGCUCGAUCCGGUCCCGUUCCGGUCGGAUCCGUGGCGGUGCUCCUCUCCGGCGAGGUCGCAGGUCGAUCCGACGCGGGGCGGCUCGAUCUGCAAGCGGAGCAACUCCGGCACGGCCAGGGCGACGACUGCUCCCCGACGCCGGCACCCUCCGCAAGGAGCGACGACAGCUCGAAGCUCUGCGGCACGGCGUGCGCCGAGCGACGUGCAGCGAGGGCGCCGCUGCCUCAGCCACCGGCGUGUCCGACCACUCGUCCACGUCCCCACUGCUGCCGCCGGCCGGCCACUCGACGUCGCUUGUCCCGCUGCUUUAGCAGGCCAAGAAACCGGAACGCCCCCCGCGCCUGGCGACCUCGGCAUCUCCAUCGACCGUCUCAGAAAGCGCUACCUCGCCCGGCUCCCGCAUAGCUGAUGCAAGCCAAGAAACAGGGAGUGCUGGCAGUAGUACUCUGAAUCCAUCAAUGCAGCCGAAUCCAUAAUGCUAAUCAAGAGGUGGUUUUGGCCUAACUGGGAUGUGCUUGAGUCCCGCAUAGCUGUGGAGGAGGAAGCUGCUGCCCUUCUUGAGUAGUUUGCAAAGAUCUUCAGUGAGCAAAGAGGGCAGUGGAAGGCAGCAACCCAAUCCCAGGAGUUCCUUUGAACCCUUCAGCGUUAAUACAAUAAUGCUUACACAGAUCCUGAGAAGCAGGAUGCUAUAAAUGUAUUCUUGGGCCAUUUCCAGUCUGAACAAGGCAAACCUCCUAUUGUGGAAGUUGGACUGAGAUCAGCAUUACGAUGUUGGCCGCCAAGGAACUCUAUGUGAAGAAACUGGAAGGUCCAUAUAAUUAUGAUGUCUUGGAGGGUAUGACGUUCGGCAAUAUUUCUGAAUCCUUCAAUGCUGACUUUGAGGAUGGUACAAUCGGGGAGGUAAUUAUUUUUCCUUUUGUCAUGUGAAGCCCAACACUAUGCUAUUAACCAGGUAUGGAUCUUUGAGAGUAUCCUUCUGGGUGAAUAUGGAGAAGUAAUGAAUAUCCAAGUACUUGCUGUGGCUGAAAGGGUAGACCUGCUCUAACCAAAGGACCUUUAGAUGCUUGGCCCAGUUCGCCCAUUGUUUUUGACUACAACCAUUGCACUUACUGUUGUGGACCGGUUCGGUAAUUAACCAAAGGAUGAUUGUAAUAGUUGGCUCCGCCUGUCAUGUAUAGAGCAACCGAAAGUUGUAUAUGUUCCUCCCAAGUUAUCAUGUAUUACAUUUGUGGACAGUUGUAUAUGUUCUGAUCUGUACACGUAUGCAUAACAAACAAAGCCUGGGUGUUCAUACCUGGGGUUGAAUCCGUACAGAGUCGCCCACGGGAACUCCUAUGUCGCUGUCGUGGUUCCGCGGCGGCGGCGUUGUCCAGUGGUUCCGUGGCGGCGGUGCUGUCGAGUGGUUCCGCGACGGCGGCGCUGUGGACUGUGCAGAUCCAGAUGGAGUCGGGCGGCGAGAUCCAGAUGGACUCAGGCGGAGAUCCAGAUGGACUCAGGCGGCGAGAUCUGGUGCGGGGUAUGAGGUUCUACGGCAGGCCGAUCCUGCGUGGGCGGGGUUCUCGGUGGGUUGGUGUGGGGGUGAUGGGACGGAAAAACCGGUUGAAAAAAAACCAGACGAAAAAAAACCAGACGAAAGUGGAGGGACUAUUCAACCAACUCGUCCAUUAGGAGUAGAGAUUAGCUGGUGUUCGACACCAGUGCCCUGGCCUAGUCAACAUUAUCAAAAACUAUCACUUUGUGGCUGCCUCAGACGUGUGCUUGUGCCGUGA